UUGAAAAAAACUCUCAAGCAAGAAGUUUUGAAGGUGGAAAAAAUCUACUUUUGAGCAACGAGUAUAUAUUUUUUUUAGUAGAAAAUUUAUUCCCGAAAGCAGUCGACUAUUUUGACAUUUUCAAAGUCACUGUGAACGGUCGGAGCCAUUGUGAAGCUUUUUCGGUGGUGGUAGGAACUCUGUCGAAAGCUCGUUAUUUCAUUUUGUUGCCUCAAAAAAGGAAAAUGUGCUUCUCCCUUCUAUUUUAUUAUAGAUUAUUAUUUUUAGUUAUUUUUUAUUUUUAUUUUUUUGUUUAUUUAUUUAUUCUUUAUUAGUAAUUUAUUUCUUUUAUUAUUUUAUUUUCAUUUGUUUUAUUUAUUGCGCUUUUUUAUUUUUUUAUUCUCAUUUUUUAUUUAUUUAUUUAUUUAUUAUUAUUAUUAUUAUAUAUUUUUUUUACCUUAUGUGUUUGAUUAUUAUGGUUUGUCUAAAUCGGCAUUUGAAAUGCUAGUUUGUUCGUCGUAUUAUUAAACGCGUACUAAUCCUUAUCUCUUUUUUCUUUGCAUUAAUUCUUCCAGAUGAGAUCACUUGGACUCCCCAUAUCUCUGCAUUUGAACGCCGUUGAGUCAAGCCUCAUUAAAAUUCAAAAUUGGAUUGAUAUAAUGUAGGAUAUCACGCGUAUACAUGCUGGUUAUUAGAAAUACUCGUCGGGAAUAGUCUCCAAAAAAGACUUAAGUUUUGUAUUAUGUUUUUUUUUUGUAUUUUUAUACUUGUAUAAUAUAUCAUUAUAGUAAAACUUUAUUUUUGGAGCAUUGGGCGGGGAUGUUCUUUAUUUAUAAAAACUUGGUCAUGCAUUUAGGCAAACUUAGGCCGUUAAUAUUUAUAUGCAAAAAAUAAAAAUAAAUAAAUAAAUUGAUUUAGAUAUUUAAUCAAAUAAUUCAUUUUUUACACUAAAAAUAUUACGUAGUCUUUUCUUUAGAAUAAGUUUUCUUUAUUUAAUUUUAUCUUUCUUUACAUACAUAUACUUAAUAUAUUUUUGUUUGUAUAUUUUAC
rnacentral:lncRNA from 1 species